GACGAACGCUGGCGGCGUGCCUAAUACAUGCAAGUUGAGCGCUGAAGGUUGGUACUUGUACCAACUGGAUGAGCAGCGAACGGGUGAGUAACGCGUGGGGAAUCUGCCUUUGAGCGGGGGACAACAUUUGGAAACGAAUGCUAAUACCGCAUAAAAACUUUAAACACAAGUUUUAAGUUUGAAAGAUGCAAUUGCAUCACUCAAAGAUGAUCCCGCGUUGUAUUAGCUAGUUGGUGAGGUAAAGGCUCACCAAGGCGAUGAUACGUAGCCGACCUGAGAGGGUGAUCGGCCACAUUGGGACUGAGACACGGCCCAAACUCCUACGGGAGGCAGCAGGAGGGAAUCUUCGGCAAUGGACGAAAGUCUGACCGAGCAACGCCGCGGGAGUGAAGAAGGUUUUCGGAUCGUAAAACUCUGUUGGUAGAGAAGAACGUUGGUGAGAGUGGAAAGCUCAUCAAGUGACGGUAACUACCCAGAAAGGGACGGCUAACUACGUG
rnacentral:rRNA from 1 species